rnacentral:lncRNA from 1 species
UUGGGACAGAAGUAGGUGGAGGGGUGUAAAACCCUCAACCCCUAAACAAAGCAAUAGAAUCUCCAGACUGCAGGCCUUGACUCAUGAAGCUGAGACACUCAGGAUGACCUUGUUGUCAUUUAGCACUACACUCACAGCUGGCAGGACCUGGGCCAAGAGAGCAUUACGUGUCUUCCUUAUCUCUCUGGAAAUCUAAGCUGCCCAGAUGAUCGUCUUCUGAGAAGGAAUUUGUAGUUCUGUAUCUUUAAGAACAUCCCUCUUGUUUCUCAGUCUGCAAAACAGGAGGAAGCUUAAUACAAUGCUCUAUACUGCAGCACCAUCCUGUGCAUGAGGAUGCGGGUUGAAAAAGAAGGAAGAAUGAGAGGACCAGUCAUCACAAGCUCCUGUGUCCAAGUCUUCCCAGCCAUGAUGGGGAUACCCUCGGACAGUGAACCAAGAUAAACCCCUUCUUUCCUGACUUCCUUCUGUCAGGGUGUUUCAUCACAGCAACAUGACAAUAAAUCCCAAGCCAUUCUCAAUAAAUCACUCUCAUGCCACAUCUUCUAAUGGAAGAGUCUACCCUUCUUAAGAAUAACCUCUUUUGUUAUUUCAGUUUCCCAUAUCAUUUUUCUUCCUUUGCUUUCCUGCUCAAAAU